rnacentral:sRNA from 1 species
GCUAAUGCGUCUCUGGUGUCAUUGCAUCCGAAUUGGAAGAAUAAUUUAAAAUUUUC